CAGAACUCAAAAAGUAUUGAACCGAAUCGCAUGAAAUUUGGUGGGAUGAUUGUUUAUUAUCCGGGGACCAGUUGAUUAGAUUUUGGGAUCGAUCGGGUCAAAGGUCAAAGGUCAUGAACAGGUCAAAAUGUUCUUGAAUCGCAUGAAAUUUGUUGGGAUGAUUGGUUAUUAUCCGGGGACCAUUUGAUUAGAUUUUGGGAUCAAUCGGGUCAAAGGUCAAGGUCAUGGAAAGGUCAAACUCUUUUUUUACCAUAGCACGAUGCAUUUUUGUCCAAUUGGCAUGCAACUAAUGCCAAAAUGUUCAUAAUUCAAUGCCCAAUCUUGUGAUAUGUGAAGGUAGGCGCUCUACCGAGUGCCCAUUCUAGUUUACUUUUGUUUUGGGGAACUGCAAAGACUUUGGGGACUGUCGGGAUCCGGGGAUUAUACUUUGUUUUGAGUGGGUUUGAUUGUUUGCAGUGUGUGUUCAUUUUGGAAGCUUGCUGAUGCAUUGAAUUUUAUUUAAUAUAAUAAUAUUUGAGUUUA